GGAGUCGGCCAGACAGUCGCCGGGAUUGUAUCCCGGAGGAAAGUCCGGGCUCCACAGGGCAGGGUGCCAGGUAACACCUGGGGGGCGCGAGCCUACGGCCAGUGCAACAGAAAGUAUACCGCCAGCUUCGGCUGGUAAGGGUGAAAUGGUGCGGUAAGAGCGCACCGCGCCGGUGGUAACACGCGGCGGCAUGGUAAACCCCACCCGGAGCAAGACCAAAUAGGGGAACGUCAAGUGUGGCCCGCACGGUUCCCGGGUAGGUCGCUUGAGACAUGCGGUGACGCAUGAUCCAGAUGAAUGACUGUCCACGACAGAACCCGGCUUAUCGGCCGGCUCCACCU
rnacentral:RNase_P_RNA from 1 species